rnacentral:lncRNA from 1 species
AGUGCCAGAAAGACAGUUAAGGCUGAGUGUCGACCCAAGAACUGCCGCAUAAACGAAGCAAUAAAAGGAGCAUAGGUGGAGUGAGAAGCGGGGGUCAUGGAGGGGGAGUACAAAAAUCAAAAUAAAAGGAAUAAGAUAAUUUAUUAAAAAGCAGGUCCCCAUCUGAUGACAUCUGUGAUCCACACAUACUGUUUCUGUCCCAGUUCUACACUAGGACUCAGCCUGGGUUGCAGGUUGAUCAGCCUAUGGGCUCCGGUCACAUCCAAGACUCAGCAUUUCGGAAGACGUCUUCGGGAACUGGGAGCUGUGGAAGAGGAAGUUAGCAGCUACUGCACCGCAGGUGAGCAGGGCAAACUGCUCUGCACUUGCUCAGAGAUCAUCUAUAAUGGAUGCUAAGACAGCCAAGGUUGCCAGGAAUUGAUUGGCCUCUCCGUAUAAGCUUUCAGAAAUAGCAGGUAUCUGUUCAUCGAUUCUGAAAUACAUUACUGCUGAAGCACCUUCAACAUCUGUGUCAUCAGAGUCAGAGGCCGAAGCUCUUGGAGGCAACCUCUCUUUGGAGACAGAAAAUGCUGAAAGCGGGAGUUUGUUCAUAUUUAGUGACCUUGGCCUUCCAAACAGUUACAGACUGGGAGGGUUUUGUUGUAAGAAUCACCACAAUGCCCUCUGUACUUUGUCUGAGGAGAAAACACCAACCAGAUGCCCUUGGACCAGGACAGAGAAUAGCAAGCGAAAGUUUAUCAAAGCACACUGCUUAUCUGGUGACGUUCUGUUCCAGGUUCCCGUGACUGGGAAACAGCCAGGGAGAUGACGAUGGUGAGCCUACUGCUAUUUGGACAAUUCACUCGAAAGUCACUCGAAGACUAAUGUACCCAGGAGCUACUAUUUAGCUUCAACAACAGCUGUCAGUUCACCAUCAACCUCAUUCCCAUUUCAAUUAGCUAUUCACCUCCAAAUUUCUAUCUAUCUAUCUAUCUAUCUAUCUAUCUAUCUAUCUAUCUAUCUAUCAAUGUAUCUAUCUAUCUCAAGGUUAUUAAGUAAAAUAAACGAGAACUAAUUAUAAUACUAACUCUCAUUUUCUUUUAUAAUAAUUGAUACAAAGAACAUAUUCUACCUGUAUUCCAAUUUCCCUGUCAGUAGAAUGUGAGCACAUUUUCAGCUCAGAGAAGACCAGGUCACAGCAUUUGAGCUCAGCUUCCUGGAGCUGCUACAGAACCCAAAGGAGUUGUUGUUGUUGUUGUUGUUGUUGUAGAGAGGGCUUACAGCCAGGCCACCUAGAAUUCCCACACUAGUAUGGCUGGAAAUUCAUACAGAGAGACAGGGGGCAUCCCUUCCACUAGACUGUUGGUCUGCCACUUCAGCUGUCCAACCACAAGCCAAAACCCUCUUCAACGGUUCAAAUUAUGUAAACUGUGCUCCGAUUUCCCUGGGUGAGACAUCCCCUGAUGAGCUACCACAGCAGAGACAAGCCCCAACAAAGGUCAUGUGGCUCUAAUCUGCUGUUCCAGGUGCUUCCUGCUGUAGCAUGGACUCAGGCCCACUCAACUUAGUAUGACCAAAAGGGAAGGCUCCUCGCCGGUUCCACAGAACUCAUGAACAGGGCAACCUGGCAGAGUGAAUCAGGAACCACAGGCAACUUCAAGGAACACUCUUUGUUCCCCAGUUUUGGAUUACUUUCGGAGACCCCAAAUUGGUGACUCUCAUUUUGGAGUUCCAACCUUGCUGUUAACUCCUGCCUUCCGUCUGUCCUGACGCCUGUCCAGACUCCUGUUGUCCAUCUGUCCUGACAACUUUGCACUAACAUGGACCUCUGACAGGCUUCCUUUCUGAGACAGUAGUUGCGGCUAUUCAUAAGAAGGCACUUGGCAAGCCACAGCUGUCCUCUGAAUGGAUCCUCACUGCAAGCCUGGCAGCCAUUCAUUCAUUCCACCCGUGUUUACAAGUUGUACUAUGUGUGUGGCAAUCCAUGACAAACUGUGGGAAAACAGAAUAAAACAAAACAAAACAGACCACUUCCUCCCUUCUUGAAGCUUCCACAUAGGGGCAAUGAACCUCAGGAAAUGGCCAUUAUUAUUCCAAUAAAAUACAUGGGGAAACAG